CAAAUUGAGAGUUUGAUCCUGGCUCAGGAUGAACGCUGGCGGCGUGCCUAAUACAUGCAAGUCGAACGCUUUGUGGUUCAACUGAUUUGAAGAGCUUGCUCAGAUAUGACGAUGGACAUUGCAAAGAGUGGCGAACGGGUGAGUAACACGUGGGAAACCUACCUCUUAGCAGGGGAUAACAUUUGGAAACAGAUGCUAAUACCGUAUAACAAUGACAACCGCAUGGUUGUUAUUUAAAAGAUGGUUCUGCUAUCACUAAGAGAUGGUCCCGCGGUGCAUUAGCUAGUUGGUAAGGUAAUGGCUUACCAAGGCGAUGAUGCAUAGCCGAGUUGAGAGACUGAUCGGCCACAAUGGGACUGAGACACGGCCCAUACUCCUACGGGAGGCAGCAGUAGGGAAUCUUCCACAAUGGGCGAAAGCCUGAUGGAGCAACGCCGCGUGUGUGAUGAAGGGUUUCGGCUCGUAAAACACUGUUGUAAGAGAAGAAUGACAUUGAGAGUAACUGUUCAAUGUGUGACGGUAUCUUACCAGAAAGGAACGGCUAAAUACGUGCCAGCAGCCGCGGUAAUACGUAUGUUCCAAGCGUUAUCCGGAUUUAUUGGGCGUAAAGCGAGCGCAGACGGUUAUUUAAGUCUGAAGUGAAAGCCCUCAGCUCAACUGAGGAAUUGCUUUGGAAACUGGAUGACUUGAGUGCAGUAGAGGAAAGUGGAACUCCAUGUGUAGCGGUGAAAUGCGUAGAUAUAUGGAAGAACACCAGUGGCGAAGGCGGCUUUCUGGACUGUAACUGACGUUGAGGCUCGAAAGUGUGGGUAGCAAACAGGAUUAGAUACCCUGGUAGUCCACACCGUAAACGAUGAGUGCUAGGUGUUUGAGGGUUUCCGCCCUUAAGCGCCGCAGCUAACGCAUUAAGCACUCCGCCUGGGGAGUACGACCGCAAGGUUGAAACUCAAAGGAAUUGACGGGGACCCGCACAAGCGGUGGAGCAUGUGGUUUAAUUCGAAGCAACGCGAAGAACCUUACCAGGUCUUGACAUCCCUUGACAACUCCAGAGAUGGAGCGUUCCCUUCGGGGACAAGGUGACAGGUGGUGCAUGGUUGUCGUCAGCUCGUGUCGUGAGAUGUUGGGUUAAGUCCCGCAACGAGCGCAACCCUUAUUACUAGUUGCCAGCAUUCAGUUGGGCACUCUAGUGAGACUGCCGGUGACAAACCGGAGGAAGGUGGGGAUGACGUCAAAUCAUCAUGCCCCUUAUGACCUGGGCUACACACGUGCUACAAUGGCGUAUACAACGAGUUGCCAACCCGCGAGGGUGAGCUAAUCUCUUAAAGUACGUCUCAGUUCGGAUUGUAGGCUGCAACUCGCCUACAUGAAGUCGGAAUCGCUAGUAAUCGCGGAUCAGCACGCCGCGGUGAAUACGUUCCCGGGUCUUGUACACACCGCCCGUCACACCAUGAGAGUUUGUAACACCCAAAGCCGGUGGGGUAACCUUCGGGAGCCAGCCGUCUAAGGUGGGACAGAUGAUUAGGGUGAAGUCGUAACAAGGUAGCCGUAGGAGAACCUGCGGCUGGAUCACCUCCUUU
rnacentral:rRNA from 1 species